UGCGUAGGCGGUCCGGUAAGUUGGGUGUGAAAGCCCUCGGCUCAACCGAGGAACUGCGCCCAAGACUGCCGGGCUGGAGGGAGACAGAGGUGAGCGGAACUUAGGGUGGAGCGGUGAAAUGCGUUGAUAUCCUAAGGAACACCAGUGGCGAAAGCGGCUCACUGGGUCUCUUCUGACGCUGAGGCACGAAAGCUAGGGAAGCGAACG
rnacentral:rRNA from 1 species